rnacentral:rRNA from 1 species
UACGAAGGGGGCUAGCGUUGUUCGGAAUUACUGGGCGUAAAGUGCUCGUAGGCGGCCUUCUAAGUCGAACGUGAAAUCCCCGGGCUCAACCCGGGAACUGCGUCCGAUACUGGAAGGCUUGAAUCCGGGAGAGGGAUGCGGAAUUCCAGGUGUAGCGGUGAAAUGCGUAGAUAUCUGGAGGAACACCGGUGGCGAAGGCGGCAUCCUGGACCGGUAUUGACGCUGAGGCGCGACAGAGUGGGGAGCAAACAGG